rnacentral:rRNA from 1 species
CCCUUAGAUGUUCUGGGCCGCACGCGCGCUACACUGAUGCAUUCAACGAGUUUCUUCCUGGUCCGAGAGGAAUGGGUAACCUUUUGAAAGUGCAUCGUGAUAGGGAUAGACUAUUGCAAUUAUUGGUCUUCAACGAGGAAUUCCUAGUAGACGUAGUUCAUCAGACUGCAUCGAUUACGUCCCUGCCCUUUGUACACACCGCCCGUCGCUCCUACCGAUUGGGUGUGCUGGUUAAAUGUUCGGAUCGGCCGUUUGUCGCGGUUUCCGCGUCAUGUGGCUGAGAAGUUCAUUAAACCCUCCCACCUAGAGGAAGGAGAAGUCGUAACA